AUGAUCCUGUGGCUGAAUUUGGUUUCCUUCCUAGCAGUCCUCAGAGGUGUCCUGUCAGAGGCCCAGCUGGUGGAAUCUGGAGGGGACGUGAGAAGGCCUGGAGAGUCCCUCCGUCUCUCCUGCCAAGCCUCUGGUUUCAACUUCGGGGGCUAUUGGAUGAGCUGGGUGAGACAGGCCCCUGGAAAAGGGCUGGAAUGGGUGGCACGCAUAUGGCCCGAUUCCAGUAAGCAGUACUAUGCAGAGUCUGUGAAGGGACGCUUCACCAUCUCCAGGGACAACUCCAAAAGCCAACUCUAUCUGCAAAUGAACAGCCUUAAACUGGAGGACACGGCAGUCUAUUACUGUGCGAGGGACACAGUGAGAGGAAGUGAGUCUGAAGCCUGGCAAAAACUC